rnacentral:rRNA from 1 species
GUGUGGGUCUCAUUCCACGAGAUCCGUGCCGCAGCUAACGCAUCAAGUUCCCCGCCUGGGGAGUACGGCCGCAAGGCUAAAACUCAAAGGAAUUGACGGGGGCCCGCACAAGCGGCGGAGCAUGUGGAUUAAUUCGAUGCAACGCGAAGAACCUUACCAAGGCUUGACAUAUACCGGAAACACCUAGAGAUAGGUGCCCCGCAAGGUCGGUAUACAGGUGGUGCAUGGUUGUCGUCAGCUCGUGUCGUGAGAUGUUGGGUUAAGUCCCGCAACGAGCGCAACCCUCGUUCUAUGUUGCCAGCGCGUCAAGGCGGGGACUCAUAGAAGACUGCCGGGGUCAACUCGGAGGAAGGUGGGGAUGACGUCAAAUCAUCAUGCCCCUUAUGUCUUGGGCUUCACACAUGCUACAAUGGCCGGUACAAAGGGCUGCGAAAUCGCAAGAUGGAGCGAAUCCCAAAAAACCGGUCUCAGUUCGGAUUGGGGUCUGCAACUCGACCCCAUGAAGUCGGAGUCGCUAGUAAUCGCAGAUCAGCAACGCUGCGGUGAAUACGUUCCCGGGCCUUGUACACACCGCCCGUCAAGUCACGAAAGUCGGUAACACCCGAAGCCGGUGGCCCAACCCUUGUGGAGGGAGCCGUCGAAGGUGGGGCUG